UUUAUGGAGAGUUUGAUCCUGGCUCAGGACGAACGCUGGCGGCGUGCCUAAUACAUGCAAGUGGAGCGGAUGACAGAGGAGCUUGCUCCUCCUGAUUCAGCGGCGGACGGGUGAGUAACACGUGGGCAACCUGCCCUGUAGAUUGGGAUAACUCCGGGAAACCGGGGCUAAUACCGAAUAAUCCUUCGGACCUCAUGGUCCGAUGUUGAAAGACGGCUCCGGCUGUCACUACAGGAUGGGCCCGCGGCGCAUUAGCUAGUUGGUGAGGUAACGGCUCACCAAGGCGACGAUGCGUA
rnacentral:rRNA from 1 species